AUACUGCCCUUUACUAAAAAAACCUAAAUUCUUUUAAAUGGGUAUUCCCCGUUCCUUUUUCUUUGAUAAUCUGCUGAUAAUUUGAUCGAAGCUCUGGAAAAUCCAUGAAGAUAAAGGUUUCGUCAGAAAAAUCCUGAACUUGCAGCAAGGAUUUUAAUUUCUCUGAAAUUCGGUUUACAGUGUCAUCGUCGGCAUUAGUAUAGGUUUGAAGACAAUACCGACGAUGACUUUCGGUUUGGGUUUUUGUUUGAAUGCAAUACCGACUGAAACAGUCGGAAUUGUUUGUAGGCUUAAAGCAAUACCGAUGGAGAUUUAACAAACGUAAGAGAUCGAUUAGCUUGUGCUAGGGAAGAUUUCAGGGAUGCGUUGGGUUCGCUUAAGUUUGCUGAUUAGUUACGGGACUGUAUGAAUUGGUGCGAGUCAAAGGAAGAUACUAGAGGGAUUUGUUGUGCCCGAAAAAUUGUAAUGCUUUUCAGUAGCUUGAUAUAUGCAAGUGCGAUUAAGAAAAAAUCGUAAAAACAUAUAUGCUUGGGGAUUUGCGUGUUAUUUAGUUGUUUUGCCUCUACUGAUAUUCAUGAUCCGACAUAUCUCCAUCUUCAUGAUUAUACUAGAGCCCGGUUUCUUGAGACUAUAUUCUCUGUUUUGUGUGGGAAUCAACUUAAUCUAUGAAGCAUCAAAAUGUUCUUACCUGAAAGCCUGAAAGUUAAAAAAGAAACAAUUUCCAUCAUCUUUAUGUUUCUGUAAUUUCUAUAAUUAGGUGUUAAAGACAAGGAUGAAAUCUGCAACAGGAAAGCAAAGGAAAAUGGAACUAAAAGCAAUACCGAUGGAGAUUUAGCAAAGGGGAUACAGGAUACUCAAGGUUGAUUUAGACAUUAUCAACUUAUUUUUGGAUAAGGGGUUCCCCAAAUUACUUCAUAAUGUUGUUUUUUUUUAAGUAUCCCCAAAUUUGUGGUGGUAUCCCCCAAUUGUGGGUUCUACAUUUAAGGUAGAGUAGACGUGCAAAGAAAAAUCUAAUAUUUUUUGAGAAAUGGUUUUUGGAGUUCUUACCGAUUGAUAUCUUCUUGAAGAAGUUAUCAGAAUGGUUAUGGUAAGAAAGAACUUCAUAAACAAUCCCUCAAAAAACGCAUAAUUUUCUCGUGAAUCAUAUGCCCUAACGAUGAAUGAUAGCAUUUUUCUUUCUAUUACUUUAAUUAAUGGUAUUUUUAUAUAUUCUUUUAUUUGUAAAUAUGUAAUUAACUGUUUAAAUUACAGCGGACAACGAGUAACUAAAAGCAAAAUAAAUUUUAAAAAUCCAAGAUGUAUUCACUUGCACAUGAUCCAUGGGCCACAAGUAUUGACAGACGCAAGCGAUUAUGUUAUGAAAGUGUUUGGAAAUCGAUGGACUGUGAUAUACCAACAACACAAAUGAUGGGAAUAGGUUGUAUGGGAAAAAUGAGCAUCAUAGCAAUAUCUGAUGCUGUAGCUCGACAAGAACUUAUGGACUUGUAUCCAGCCGAGCUUUUCAGCAAGCCCUUGAGUCGUCACGUCACAUUUUGCACAGUGUUCGAGCUUUUAUGGCCAAGGGCAGGCCAAUAUUCGUAACAAUGAACGGUGUUGUUUCUGCUUGUCACCGAUAACUAUGGGUCUAACUUUGGCUCUGUAAUCCUAAUGGAUUACGAGAUAAUGAAUGGGGCACAGGCCACACAAAUGACAGGAAUAUGUGGUAUGGGAAUUUUAUUGUUGAUCUCAGGCAACACAAGUGACAGCAAUAUGUGGUAUGGGAAUUACGAGUGUGCAUCACAAGUGACAGGAAUAUGUGGUAUGGAAAUUACGAGUGUUCAUCUUGAUAGUCGCAGAGGUAUCGGAUGAGGAAGCUCGAGAAGAAUUUAUGAACUUGGGUCUAUACUACCAUCUCAAAGAAACCGAGAAGUUCAACAAUUUGCACAAUGUUUGAGUCCUUACGGCCAGAGUAUAUGCCGAUAUUUAUCACCAUAAGUCUAGAUGAUCAGUGAGAACUGAGAAGCAAUGUAGACUUGUUUCCACUGAUUAGAGUGAAACUAUGCAAGGCUGUUACAAAGGAGGUUUAAUGGAUCAAUAGAGUGUGAUACAUGGCACUGUUGCUUCCCCGUUACAAUGUUAUCAUUAUGUUCCAAACAAGUUUCAAUUUUUAAAUUACACAA